AUUGAACGCUGGCGGCAGGCUUAACACAUGCAAGUCGAACGAGUGGCGGACGGGUGAGUAAUGCUUGGGAAUCUGGCUUAUGGAGGGGGAUAACUACGGGAAACUGUAGCUAAUACCGCGUACCAUAGGAUGAGCCCAAGUGGGAUUAGGUAGUUGGUGAGGUAAAGGCUCACCAAGCCGACGAUCUCUAGCUGGUCUGAGAGGAUGACCGGCAAAGCGGGAACUGGGAAAGGGCCCGAACUCCUCCGGGGGGCAGCAGUGGGGAAAAUGGCGCAGUGGGGCAACCUGACGCAGCCAUGCCGCGUGAAUGAAGAAGGCCUUCGGGUUGUAAAGUUCUUUCGGUAGCGAGGCGUUAACUACAGAAGAAGCACCGGCUAACUCCGUGCCAGCAGCCGCGGUAAUUC
rnacentral:rRNA from 1 species